rnacentral:rRNA from 1 species
UUUGGUGCCAGCAGCCGCGGUAAUUCCAGCUCCCAUAGCGUAUAUUAAAGUUGUUGCAGUUAAAAAGCUCGUAGUUGAAUUUCGGGGUUUAUCCGUUGGUCGGGCUUUUUGGUCUGUACUGGCGUGAUGGAUUCCUACCUUCUGAAUAACCGGCAUGCCAUUAAUUUGGUGCGCCGGGGAAGCAGGACUGUUACCUUGAAAAAAUUAGAGU